UCUUAGCGAUUUAAAUGCAUGCCCCAUCCCUGGGCACGGCACUAAUCCCACCACCACCGGCUCGCCGGAUGU
rnacentral:sRNA from 1 species